rnacentral:lncRNA from 1 species
GCGUGCGUGCGUGCGCGCUGGCACCGCCCACCCGCCGCCGCCGCCGCCGUUCCCCGCUCGGCUGCCGGAAGGGAUUUUGCGCCCUUCCGCCGCGGGGUCACGUGACACCCCCUCGGUAACGCAAGAUGGCGGCGCCCAUGUUGCUGCCUGAGUCCCCUCUGGGGAAGUUGAGCCAUCAAAAAUACAGGGCUAUUCUGAAGAAAGAAAAGCGAAAAAAAAAGCGACAGGCACUUGCCAAACUAAGAGACUCAGAAGCUACAGAAAAAGAUGAAUCGGUGUCUGAGGAGGAAGAGGAGGAAUUGGAAGAAGAGGAGGAAGAAGAAGAAGAAGAAAAAAAGCUUGAGGAAGAAAGACAAAAACUACAUGAGCAGUGGUUGCUGAGAGAAGAAAAGGCCCAAGAAGAAUUCAAGCUCAAGAAAGAAAAAGAAGAGGCUGCAAGAAAACGUCAAGAAGAAGAAGAGGUGAUGUAUAAACUGUGUGUUACAGUUGUGUCUUGCAAUGAGGUAGACUUAGUGUAAGAUCUUUUACUGGAGUGGACCCAGUUUUCUUGAUGUUAUUAUGUUUGAAAGUGUAUGCUCUUCUUUCUUCUAGAAGAAUCAAAAUUUA